UACAGAGGGUGCGAGCGUUGUCCGGAAUCACUGGGCGUAAAGGGCGCGUAGGUGGCGGCAUAAGGCCGUGGUGAAAGUCUGGGGCUCAACCCCAGAUCGGCCGCGGCGACUGUGUUGCUAGGGCACCGUAGAGGCAGAUGGAAUUCCCGGUGUAGCGGUGGAAUGCGUAGAGAUCGGGAGGAACACCAGUGGCGAAGGCGGCUUCCUGGCCUGUUCUUGACGCUGAGGCGCGAAAGCUAGGGGAGCAAACGGG
rnacentral:rRNA from 1 species